UACGUAGGGGGCAAGCGUUGUCCGGAAUCAUUGGGCGUAAAGCGCGCGUAGGCGGCCCGGUAAGUCCGCUGUAAAAGUCCAGGGCUCAACCCUGGAAAGCCGGUGGAUACUGUCGGGCUAGAGUCCGGAAGAGGAGAGUGGAAUUCCUGGUGUAGCGGUGAAAUGCGCAGAUAUCAGGAGGAACACCGGUGGCGAAGGCGGUUCUCUGGGCCUGUACUGACGCUGAGGAACGAAAGCGUGGGGAGCGAACAGG
rnacentral:rRNA from 1 species